UACGGAGGGUGCAAGCGUUGCUCGGAAUUAUUGGGCGUAAAGGGUAGGUAGGUGGUCUCAUUUGUCUGGGGUGAAAUCCUUGAGCUUAACUCAAGAAGUGCCUCAGAAACGGUGAGACUAGAGUUCUGGAGAGGGUCGUGGAAUUCCCGGUGUAGCGGUGAAAUGCGCAGAUAUCGGGAGGAACACCAAUGGCGAAGGCAGCUCGCUGGGACGGUACUGACGCUGAGGCGCGAAAGCGUGGGGAGCAAACAGG
rnacentral:rRNA from 1 species